CAUAAUUGAGCGUUACAUUUAAAAGCCCAGGGGAGUCUGUGUGUGUAUGUUUUUUAAUAUAAAGAUGACAGUUUCUGUUUUCUGCCAAUACUCUUCCUGGUGUCUAGUUAACAUGGUUUUAUCCGGCAACAUAAAAGAAGCAAAAAGCUGGACCCUCCCCCUUUCUCUCCCUCUCUAUCCCUCUCUUGCCCCUCUGUCCUAUCUUACAGAGAGAGAUGAUCGGAGGAGCGGAGUCUCAGUGAACAGAGCGAAGCGAUGGAGAGAUGCUCCAUCUCUCCUGUCGCACGACUGACUGCCCUCCGCUGCCUUGUCUGCCUUCUCCUGGUUGCUCUGGUGACACAGCCUUCCACCUGUAACCGUGACGACAGUGAGGGCGAGGAGCAGGUGGACGCCCUGUCUGUCCAGCUGUCCGUUACAGCCCAGGUCACACCCACCCCUCUGUGGGCGGUAGUCUGGGGUCCCACACAGCCUCUGGAGGAUGAGACCUACCAUUUCCUUUCCAGCCAGGAAACUGACCCCCUGCACCAGCAUGGUAACCAGCAGGAGGCCAGCACCGCCAAGUCAGACUGGUCUGCAAGCAUGCAGCCCCGAGAGGACGUGCCGCUGGAGUCUAAGGACCAGGAGGGAGUCGAGGAUGGAGGCACGGAAGCGGAGGAGACAGAGCCUGAGGAAGUGGACCCUCAGUUCUACGUCACAGUGACCAUCUCCUCGCUGCUCAUCCUGACGGCAGUCGUUAUUACAGCCAAACUCUGUUACGAUCACAGCUGUUCCCAGCAUCCACCCCCGCUUUCCCGUGGCGUGGCCCCCCCACUCUCCCUCGCUCUCCCUCGUUCCCUUGCUUCGGAGGACAGCCGGCAGACGUUGCACAGCACCUCCGCCUCUUUCACCGACAGGGAGAGGAUCCCAGUCGUGAACCUCUGA
rnacentral:lncRNA from 1 species